UACGGGGGGGGCAAGCGUUGUUCGGAAUUACUGGGCGUAAAGGGCUCGUAGGUGGCCAACUAAGUCAGACGUGAAAUCCCUCGGCUUAACCGGGGAACUGCAUCUGAUACUGGAUGGCUUGAGAUUGGGAGAGGGAUGCGGAAUUCCAGGUGUAGCGGUGAAAUGCGUAGAUAUCGGGAGGAACACCUGUGGCGAAAGCGGCUCACUGGACCACAACUGACGCUGAGGCGCGAAAGCUAGGGGAGCAAACAGG
rnacentral:rRNA from 1 species